GGCGGCGCGGGAGUGGGUGGGGGGAGAGGACGGCGUGUGCGGCCUCCUCUUUUCUCUCCACGCGCUUCUCCAUAGGACGUGGAUGGGGCUGCUGCUGGCAAGAGCUUAUCCUUAAUAAAUGGUCAGGGUGCCGGACCAGGACCUGGGUUCGAAUUCCGCAGUCGGCCAUUAUGCUCACCUGGCGUGGCCCUAGUGGGGCCGGACGCUACCUCUCUCAGCCCAGCCUAACCUACCUCGCAGGGUUGUCGUGGGGAUUGGGUGAGAAGGGUGAGAGCCAUGUAUGCCACCUCGAAUUCCUUGUUGGAGAAAAGGGGUAUAAAUGCAGUAAAUUAAUAUUAUCGCCUCCCCCGUCUCCCGCCAAAAUAGUCUUUUCUUCAUUGCCUUACUCCUACAGUUAACAGUACAUGGGAGUUUACUUCCCAGGGGUCCCCAUUUGGACUUUCAGCAAGACUGCCUUGCCUCUCGUAGGUUGAUUAGUGGGCCAUGGAGUAAGGUGGUUUGUGGCAGCAUGUAGAUCUUCUGCUCUUGUGGGUAAGAAUGUAAAAAGAUUGGGCCCAAUGGCCCAUCUGGUCCAACAUCCUGUUCUCACAGUGGCCAGCAAGAUGCCUGUGGGAAACCUGCAAACAAGACCGGAGCACAGGAGCACGCCUAUGGUUUUCAGCAGCUGGGACUCAGAAGCAUUAUUGCCUGGGAUGGUGAAGUAGUGGAACCAUCCCCAAGGUAAAAGCUAUUUGCAUUUGGACAAGUUGACUCUACCAUUUUGGAAGUACUGCAUUUUUUUCCUUGAGGUAAGACAUUUGUUGUGAUUUGACUUUAAGAAGGAGGUUUGUUUUGUU